UAACCUCAAGCUUGUGUCUGUCUAGGUACCAGUACUUCUGGAAAUAAUAUAAACACCUUUUCAGGUUGUAUCAGAGCUUCUUGAUGUAGAAGGGGAGUUGGAGCAUUCAGCAACGCCAUGUGUCAGUAGGAGAAGCUGCCAAGCAUCUGCUCAUCCCUCCCAUCACACCUCUCCAGCGGCCUGUCUAUGAGAUUACAUUCUUUGGAGGAUCUCUGAGCGCUUCAGAAGGACUAAAGAAUUAUGCCUCACAGUGGCCCAUAAGGUGGAUUGAAGACAAAUUGACUGGCUGGCAACUCCUUAGCUCUGCUUUACCCCCUCUGCAGAGCAAGGUAUUAUGUUUGCUCUUUUCCAGCCUUUUGGCACCUCAUCUUCUCUUCUUGCAUGCUCAGAGGUGACUGUCGAGAUUCAGAGAUUGCGCCACUAUCUUCCUGCUGCUACAUAUUCUGUUCCUUGUCUGUGUUGGCGUCUGUGUCCUUUGGCAGUUCUCAGAGGCACUACCAACUCUCCUUAAUUUAUUAUUUUUGCCCUCCACAAGAUCAACGAGUUUAGGUCACCUGCCUGGGUUUAAUCCUGCUGUCAUCAAUGGUUUUGUUGCUUCGGGAUUGAGGCUUAC